rnacentral:rRNA from 1 species
UCGCUAUGGGAUGGCCCCGCGGUGCAUUAGCUAGUUGGUAAGGUAACGGCUUACCAAGGCAAUGAUGCAUAGCCGAGUUGAGAGACUGAUCGGCCACAUUGGGACUGAGACACGGCCCAAACUCCUACGGGAGGCAGCAGUAGGGAAUCUUCCACAAUGGACGCAAGUCUGAUGGAGCAACGCCGCGUGAGUGAAGAAGGUUUUCGGAUCGUAAAGCUCUGUUGUUGGUGAAGAAGGAUAGAGGUAGUAACUGGCCUUUAUUUGACGGUAAUCGACCAGAAAGUCACGGCUAACUACGUGCCAGCAGCCGCGGUAAUACGUAGGUGGCAAGCGUUGUCCGGAUUUAUUGGGCGUAAAGCGAGCGCAGGCGGAAGAAUAAGUCUGAUGUGAAAGCCCUCGGCUUAACCGAGGAACUGCAUCGGAAACUGUUUUUCUUGAGUGCAGAAGAGGAGAGUGGAACUCCAUGUGUAGCGGUGGAAUGCGUAGAUAU